GGGGGUGACUGGUUUCGACUUCGUACGUUGCGGCAGGGGAAGCGAGCCGAGGAAGCCGACGUCGUCUCGUGAAUCGGUCGUCGGAAACCAAUAAGCGCCAAUUCUAAGCGCGCUGACUUCGCUCUCGCCGCCUGAGGCGAGUAGUGAGUCUGUCGGUCUGGGAGGGCCUUCGGCCCAGUAACCGGCAUCAGUGAGAAGGCUGGCCAAUCGAACCCGGUCGCGGGGUUCGUGCGGUGAGAUUAAUCGCGACUGGGCCUGUCACACCGUCUCGCUCGCGUGAUCGGUGGGGCCGAGUAGAGGCAUAGCGAGCUGCGCUCGGAGAAGCCCUGACAAUGCGCCGAAGGACCCGGGUUCGAUUCCCGGCACCUCCACGG
rnacentral:tmRNA from 1 species